GGAUACAGAAAUGACUCUGGUGGUAAGUAAAAGUAGUAAACAGUACGGUGCGAAUCGAGCUAUCGUCGACGUCGAAGCUGUCAAAUAUGGCGAGAAUGUCGAUCUUGAAUGCUGGUCAAAAAUGUGAAUAGAAGGUUCGCGUUGUAGUGAGAUUCGUGAAUCUCGUGUAUUCUCGUCGUCGGCAGAGGCCGGCGAGAGAUGCGAUCGGGAGUUAGACUGUCAAGCCGAAAGUGAAUGUGCCGAGUGAACGGCCCCGGCAGUUUUGCGGCCGGGAUUAAUCUAAGGGCAUGCCAAUUCGGAAACUAUGGGUGCUCAACAGACUAAGGAAGAAUUGUUCCUGUCGGCUCUGCUGCGCGACAAACACGUAAACAGCCAAGAAACCUCAAGGAGUCCCGUCUUGUUGGCUCUAAUAUAUUUACGGAGCAUAGCGAAGCUCUUUUACAAAGCAGACCGCUACCUCACAUUCCGGCAUUACCAGAUGGUGAUCCUCCAAAUGGAUCCGGUAUUCAGCCAAUUUCACAACAAAUAAAUAUUCAACAACAUACUGGAGUUUCUUCUGCUGGACUCUUGGAGGCUGCAAACAGGUUAAAUUUUAUUUUUUAUAAC